rnacentral:lncRNA from 1 species
GGGGGAAUUGAUAAAGUUAGCUCUCUCAGUCUUCAAGCCUGAAUGCCAAAGUGAAAACUCAGUUUUGGGAGCCAUUGUUGCUGGCAGGUGUUACCUUCUGCAAAUCCAUUGUCUACAGCUUCCUCAAAGCCAUUCUUGAUGGUAAAACUGCUUCCCUUGGUUUAUCUUUUUUUGCUUCUUUCACUUCUUUCUUUAUUUUUUCGAAUGUUGGUCUAGGUUUAUUCAACUUUUAUUUAACUUAGCUUGACCUUAGUAUAUUUGUAAUGGAAGACAUAUUAUGAUUUCGUAAUAUAGUUUCCCUUUGGUUUUUAGUGUUGUGGAUUGAAUAUGAUUUUGUCUUAGAUGAAUAACUUGUGGGUUUUGGAUAGAUGAAUUACCAUAGCUCAAUUUCAGGAUGUGCAAUAUCAGUUUGAGCAGAGACAAGAUAUUUUAACUUCUUGAAGCAUAAGGUUGAUGAUUGAGUGAACUAUUUUCUAAAAUAUAGGUGAAAGAAGAAAACAUUGAAGAUAAGGAAAAAAUAUGUACCUCCACUAAUUAGAAAGUACCAACCUUAUCUUCUUAUAUAAUUGAAGAAAGACUUGAACUACUGUCAGGCAAUGGUUGACGCAUUCUUCCAUUAUCUUUCCUCUUCCUAGGAUGAAUUUGACGCCUUCCUGUUCCUGCUCACUUGUUCAAUUAUUUUUAUUUUUUGUGAUGGUGGUGUAGAGGCCAGCUUGCACGUAUCUCGACUAUUUAACAGGCACCUGCUACCUCUCGCAGCACAACUUUCGGGUAACACUGCUCACCAAGGCGUAGGCAGAUGAGAAAAAAUCACCCAGUAUAUUUUUUGCCUCUGUUGGUAUUUGAACCUGAGAUCUCAUGGUUACUUCAUUGACCACUAGAUCACACCCUUGGCUGCCUUACAUAUUUAUUUUUAAGCAGUAACCGUUUCUAGAAGUAGGGUCCACUGAGCAAAUAGGGGUUAGUUAGAUGGGAUAAUUGCUUCAAUGUCUAGACUUAAUUGUUUCAAAGUUCCUUCAUCUUUGUAGAAGUCCUUAAUUUCCUAUGGAACAUUAUCAAGGGCUAAGAAGAAAAAGUUAGUUUCAUACAAGUGAAAUUCUGUAGUGACAAAGAACAUGAGAUCAGGAAAAGUAGAAAAAGAGAUAAAGUGAGCUGCAUAUAAAGAAAGAAGGGUGAAAUUGCUAACGUUACUUUGGAACGAAUAAGACUACUUUACUUUGUCUCUGUAUUAAAAGAUAUUAUGUGUUGCUUCUAAUUUGUGUGUGUGAAUGCAAUCUAAGCUACCCUUAUCUGCUGGUACUUUGUAAUCUGGAGGCUAUUAUCAGAUCAAUCUUACCAAAAACAGAGAAUAAAAUAGAUUCAAAGGUUUCUUCCCAUCACAGACAACGGUAAACUCCAUUUAGGUUCCAUGUUCUUAUAUGGCUCUUGCACCUCGGUGAUUAGAAAGCUUAAGUCACGUCUGUAAGCAUUUUAAAUUCAUAAAUAUAGGUUGCAUAUUGUGCCAAGAAGAUAUCUCAUAGGGAUGAUUACUCGGCCAAAGAUACAUUGCAAUGCUUUUAUCUGGGAGUUCAUAUUGAGCUUGUUCAACUUCCAGUUAGUUCUUAAUUUCUUUUCAUUGUGCAGAAUUCUUGCUAUACUAGUAUUAUUAUAUUUGUUCUUCUUUGUUAUCAUUUUCUGUUACUUCUCUUUUCUGUUCUGAUUCAUGAUCAGCGACAUUGUAAUGAAUGUGUUGCCUUAUAACAAUAUGAAGCAUCAGAACAGUUUGGUAACAAAUAAUAUAAUGGGGCAGUAUUAGAUACUAAAUUGAUGCUUUGAACUAUCUAUUUUCUUUUUAGGUGUGAUUUCAGUUAUUCAUAGAGUUUCGCACUCCACUUUGUUCAAUGAAGAGUGGUCUAUAACAGGUAUUGUUGGUGUUGCUGGUUGUGAUUUAUGGCAGCUGUGGUGCUGCAAGUACGAAAAAUGGUGUGGGGUGGAUAUUGCAGCAGUUUGAUUUGCUUUUGAUUUUGGUGAAGACUGUGGCAUAGCUGCACGAUU